AACGAACGCUGGCGGCAUGCCUAACACAUGCGAGUCGAACGAGACCUUCGGGUCUAGUGGCGCACGGGUGCGUAACGCGUGGGAACCUGCCCUUAGGUUCGGAAUAACUCCCCGAAAGGGGUGCUAAUACCGGAUAAUGUCUUCGGACCAAAGAUUUAUCGCCUUUGGAUGGGCCCGCGUUGGAUUAGCUAGUUGGUAGGGUAAAAGCCUACCAAGGCGACGAUCCAUAGCUGGUCUGAGAGGAUGAUCAGCCACACUGGGACUGAGACACGGCCCAGACUCCUACGGGAGGCAGCAGUGGGGAAUAUUGGACAAUGGGCGAAAGCCUGAUCCAGCAAGGCCGCGUGAGUGAUGAAGGCCUUAGGGUUGUAAAGCUCUUUUACCCGGGAUGAUAAUGACAGUACCGGGAGAAUAAGCGCCGGCUAACUCCGUG
rnacentral:rRNA from 1 species